rnacentral:sRNA from 1 species
GCUGCGUAUGGUGGUGUACACCUGUAAUUCCAGCACCUCGGGAGGCUGAGACAGGAGGAUCACAAGUUCAGUGCCAGCCUCAGCAAAAGUGAGGUGCUAAGCAACUCAAUGAGACCCUGUCUCUU